UAGUAUCAUUCUAAGAAGAAGAAAACCAGAUGCCAAGUGUUCCUCUAUUCUCCUCUCUCUCUUUCUUUCUCUCUCUCCCUCCCUCCCUCCCCUGUCAUCAUUCCUUGCCAUCCCUCAAAGCUAUUCCCAAAUCCCAAAUGGGCAUUCACUAUCCAAUUCCCAAUUCCCGUUUCCACUUGAAAUCCGUCCUUGGUGGUGGUGGCGGCGGCGGCGGUGAGAAUUGUCACUGAUAAGAAGAGUCGGAGAGAGAUAAAAGAAAGAAAAGGUGGCAGCAUGCUGAGCUCCGGCAUGAACUUGGUGACGACGGUCAUCGGGUUUGGAAUGAGCUUAACUUUCAUCGUCUUCAUCUGCGUCCGCCUCAUCUGCAGCCGAAUUCGCUCCCUAGGUUCUCAGGCUGCUGCAUUCGAUGUCGACCUGCGCUCGGAUGGAAUUAAGUAAAUUCAGUACAUAUGCUUUGGUGAUCGGAGGAAUGAUCGGCGUAUUGAGGCAGAGGAGGGCUUAUCCUCAGAGACAAGCCUGAGAAUUCAAUCAGUGGCCUUGAGCCUGUUGUGGUAGCUGCAAUCCCCACGAUUAAGUAUAACAGAGAUACCUUUCAUUCAGGAGAAGAUGCCCUGUGUACGAUAUGUUUAGGAGAAUACCAAGAGAAAGAAAUUCUGCGGAUCAUGCCAACUUGUGGCCAUAACUUUCAUCUCUCUUGCAUAGAUGUAUGGCUGCAGAAACAAUCGACGUGUCCAAUUUGCCGAUUAUCAUUAAAUGAUUUGAUCGAGGCAAAAGAUGUUGCAUUCCAAGCAGUAAACAGGCAUGAGGUUGCUAAUGAUCAUACCAACCAAUGGGUAUUGCCCAGUCAUCAGCUUUUAGGAGGUAGCAGGAAUAGCCAAGACUUAUGAGAACCUGCAUCAGUAGUUGUUUGAUUUGCACAAGGAGAAGAGCUGUAAGCUUGAAGAUAGUUGAAGCAACAGCCAUGAAGGACAAUUUGUGAAGAUCUUGCAUUUAAGGAUUCCUUCUUAUUCAUUCGGUAUCCAUCGUCUAAGCUUGUGGCUAAUGAGAGUCAUGCAGGUUCAUUAAAUCAUUGCUCUAGGGAGAAUGUUGUGAAAAUUGGUAUUUAGGUGAGAUGUCAUAUUGGAAAUGAUGCUUAAAGUCUCCUGAAUUCCUUUCAAUAGGAAAUAUUUAACUAGACUAUAUGCUGCGUAGUUUGAACAAUUGACAUAUUUGUAAAUUUUUUAGAGUUACCUCAUUAA